GAAAAUCUAAGGCAGCAAAAAUGAAAAAACAUGCAGGAAAAAUGAAUGAAUUUUAAUAAGACAGGAGUGAAACACUUGUGCGUGGGGUGGGUUUUGUUUUUAAGUUCACCCAAAUGGGUGUUGUGGCUCAAGUUUUUGGUUUUUUUGGCCUGAAAGUCCCUGGUUCUGGUUUUGGAAUAUGUGUUGUGUGAUAUGUAUCUAGAGAGAGACCUUUCCUCUACCAAGUCAAGCAAUAUGAGGGAGUUAUUUCACACGUGGAACUAGGAAAGAAAGAUCCUCCAGUGUCCAGAAAACCCUCACCACGUAUCUCCAGUCUUAUCAGACUUCUUCAGUGCAAAGUGGACUGUGAUAGCUCCUGAUGGUCAUUAGUGUGCAGUGAUACUUCAAGGACUCCUCUGUAGCAAAAUCUGUAAAUGUUGGUUGCAGUCUCAGUUUGGGCUGUACUUUUGUACCUGCUUGUGAUU